rnacentral:rRNA from 1 species
GACGAACGCUGGCGGCGUGCUUAACACAUGCAAGUCGAACGGAAAGGCCCUGCUUUUGUGGGGUGCUCGAGUGGCGAACGGGUGAGUAACACGUGAGUAACCUGCCCUUGACUUUGGGGUAACUUCAGGAAACUGGGGCUAAUACCGGAUAGGAGCUCCUGCUGCAUGGUGGGGGUUGGAAAGUUUCGGCGGUUGGGGAUGGACUCGCGGCUUAUCAGCUUGUUGGUGGGGUAGUGGCUUACCAAGGCUUUGACGGGUAGCCGGCCUGUGAGGGUGACCGGCCACAUUGGGACUGAGAUACGGCCCAAACUCCUACGGGAGGCAGCAGUGGGGAAUAUUGCACAAUGGGCGGAAGCCUGAUGCAGCAACGCCGCGUGCGGGAUGACGGCCUUCGGGUUGUAAACCGCUUUCGCCUGUGACGAAGCGUGAGUGACGGUAAUGGGUAAAGAAGCACCGGCUAACUACGUG